rnacentral:rRNA from 1 species
GGUAAAGUUAUUAAGGGCGUACGGGGAAUGCCUAGGCACAUGGAGCCGAUGAAGGACGUGGUAAGCUGCGAUAAGCCUCGGGAAGGAGCAAACAUCCUUAGAUCCGGGGAUUUCCGAAUGGGGCAACCCAAAUCGAGUCAUGUCGAUUAACUCCUGUCUGAAUAUAUAGGACAGGGUGAGACAACGAGGUGAACUGACACAUCUAAGUAACCUCAGGAAGAGAAACCAAAAGGGAUUUCCUCAGUAGCGGCGAGCGAACGGGAAUGAGCCUAAACCGCCCACGUGCCAAGCUUACAGGCGUUGCGCUGGCGGGGUUGUGGGAUCGAUUCAGAGUCUGCUGUAACAGGCUCGGCAAGUCAAAAAAUCUGAUAUUAAUUGAAUGGUCUGGAAAGUCCAACCGUAGAAGGUGAUAGUCCUGUAAAUGAAAAUUGACGAUCUUGCUGGAAUCGACACCCGAGUAACACGGGACACGAGAAAUCUUGUGUGAAUCUGCCGGGACCAUCCGGUAAGGCUAAAUACUCCCAUGUGACCGAUAGUGAACUAGUACCGUGAGGGAAAGGUGAAAAGUACUCCUAACGGAGAGUGAAAUAGAACCUGAAACCGUAUGCCUACAAGCAGUCAGAGCUCCAGUUAUCUUCGGAUAGCGGAGUGAUGGCGUGCCUUUUGCAUAAUGAGCCAGUGAGUUACUCGUAUAUUGCAAGGUUAAGACUAUAAGGUCGGAGCCGUAGCGAAAGCAAGUCUGAAUAGGGCGUUGAGUAAUAUGCGGUAGACCCGAAACCGAGUGAUCUAGCCAUGGCCAGGAUGAAGUCCCGGUAACACGGGAUGGAGGUCCGAACCCACCAGCGUUGAAAAGCUGGGGGAUGAGCUGUGGUUAGGGGUGAAAGGCCAAUC